rnacentral:rRNA from 2 species
GACAGAGGUGCCGAGCGUUAGGCGGAAUCACUGGGCUUAAAGCGUGUGUAGGCGGGUCGUUAAGUGUCUUGUGAAAUCCCACCGCUCAACGGUGGAACUGCUGGGCAUACUGGCGAUCUUGAGCCACCUAGGGGCAGACGGAACAAGCGGUGGAGCGGUGAAAUGCGUAGAUAUCGCUUGGAACGCCGACGGUGAAAACAGUCUGCUGGGGGUGUGCUGACGCUGAGACACGAAAGCCAGGGGAGCGAACGGG